GCUGGCGGCGUGCUUAACACAUGCAAGUCGAACGAAGCACUUUAUUUGAUUUCCUUUGGGACUGAUUAUUUUGUGACUGAGUGGCGGACGGGUGAGUAACGCGUGGGUAACCUGCCUUGUACAGGGGGAUAACAGUUGGAAACGGCUGCUAAUACCGCGUAAGCGCACAGUAUCGCAUGAUGCAGUGUGAAAAACUCCGGUGGUAUAAGAUGGACCCGCGUUGGAUUAGCUAGUUGGUGAGGUAACGGCCCACCAAGGCGACGAUCCAUAGCCGACCUGAGAGGGUGACCGGCCACAUUGGGACUGAGACACGGCCCAAACUCCUACGGGAGGCAGCAGUGGGGAAUAUUGCACAAUGGGCGAAAGCCUGAUGCAGCGACGCCGCGUGAGCGAAGAAGUAUUUCGGUAUGUAAAGCUCUAUCAGCAGGGAAGAUAAUGACGGUACCUGACUAAGAAGCACCGGCUAAAUACGUGCCAGCAGCCGCGGUAAUACGUAUGGUGCAAGCGUUAUCCGGAUUUACUGGGUGUAAAGGGAGCGCAGGCGGUGCGGCAAGUCUGAUGUGAAAGCCCGGGGCUC
rnacentral:rRNA from 1 species